rnacentral:misc_RNA from 1 species
GUUUCAUGUCAUCUGCAACACAACAGCCUGUCGCUGUUCAUAAGUUUCAAACAUAAAUACUUCGCAACCAGCCGUUCACCGUAGCCUGGUAAGAUGUGUAAUAAGGGCUCAGAACCAUGUAUCUUGUUGUAAUUUAAAGGGCUUUAUCUUCAAAACCCAAAAGAAGUCUUCGAAUCAAAAACACUGUUGCUCUCUCUCCCGAAACCCUAAGGCAACCAUGCUUCUCCAACCAUCUCUACACCUCCAAAACGCGUCAAUUUCGUCAACUAUCUCCUACUCGCGACCCAUCCCAUGGAAAAAUCCCCAUUGUGACCUUCGCCAAACUCUAAAUUACCUCAAAUUCCCAAUCACAUGCUCAAUAUCGCAAGUCCACAGCUACGGAACUUUGGAUUAUGAGAGAAGACCCAUGAUCAAAUGGAACUCUAUCUACAGGAGAAUCUCUUUGAUGGAAAAACCUGAAUUGGGCGCUGGGACCCUUUUGAAUCAGAUGGAAAAAGACGGCAAGAAGCUCACUAAAUGGGAACUUUGUAGGGUUGUCAAGGAAUUGAGGAAGUUCAAGCGGCACAAACAAGCACUGGAGGUUUAUGAUUGGAUGAACAAUAGAGAAGAGAGGUUUAGAUUAUCUGCCAGUGAUGCUGCAAUUCAAUUAGACCUUAUUGCCAAAGUGCGUGGAGUUUCUGCUGCUGAAGAUUUCUUUUUGAGAGUUCCAGAAACUGUAAAGGACAGGAGGAUAUAUGGGGCUUUGCUGAAUGCCUAUGUGAGAGCUAGAAUGAGGGAAAAGGCAGAAUCCAUGAUUGACAACAUAAGAAAUAAAAGUUUUGCCACACAUGCACUUCCAUUCAAUGUGAUGAUGACUCUAUACAUGAACCUCAAGGAAUAUGAUAAAGUUGACAUGAUGAUUUCAGAAAUGAUGGAGAAAAACAUUAGACUUGAUAUAUAUUCCUAUAAUAUCUGGUUAUCAUCUCGUGGAUCCCAAGGAUCUGUUGAAAGGAUGGAACAGGUAUUUGAGCAAAUGAAACUGGAUAAAACCAUUAAUCCCAACUGGACAACAUUUAGCACAAUGGCCACAAUGUACAUAAAGAUGGGGCAGUUAGAAAAAGCUGAAGAUUGCCUAAGGAGGGUUGAGAGCAGAAUCACAGGUCGGGAUCGGAUACCUUAUCACUAUCUCUUAAGCCUGUAUGGUAAUGUUGGCAAUAAAGAAGAGCUUUAUCGUGUGUGGAACAUUUACAAAUCAAAUUUUCCCAAUAUUCCGAAUUUGGGAUAUCAUGCUAUUAUCUCAUCUUUGGUUAGAAUGGGUGACAUUGAAGGUGCAGAAAAGAUUUACGAGGAAUGGCUACCAACUAGGACAUCCUAUGACCCUAGAAUAGGAAAUCUCCUCAUGGGUUGGUAUGUUAAAGAGGGAAAUUUGGACAAGGCUGAAAGUAUCUUUGACCAUAUGGCAGAAGCGGGAGGAAAGCCAAAUUCUAGUACAUGGGAGAUUCUUGCAGAUGGGCAUGUAAGAGAGAAGAGAAUUUCUGAGGUUUUGUCUUGCUUUAAGGAAGCUUUUCUUGCUGAAGGAUCAAAGAGAUGGAAGCCGAAGCCUGUAAUUGUAUCUUCCUUCUUUAAGCUGUGUGAGGAAGAAGCUGACAUGUCAAGCAAAGGAGUGUUGGAGGGUUGGUUGAGGCAGUCAGGAUAUCUUGAAGAUGAAAAUUAUGCAUCACUUGUUGGACUGUCUAGUGAACUGUCGAAUGAGAAAGAUAGCACAGGCAAUAUAAAUGACAAUGAGGAGAAUGAAAUACUUCUCAACCAGUUUCAGGGCAGUCUCUGAUAUAUUUAUCACUUGCUUUUGUGUAUGGGAGAUUGUUGUUUGGACCUCAUUUGCUGGGCAGAGUGUAUCUGAGCUCAAAUUUUCAAGGUAACUUUACUAUCUUUUCAUGGCAAUCGUCAACUGGUCAAAUUUUAUGCUCAUGCUAAUGGCAACCAGGAAUUUGGAGUCUUUGGUGUAGCCAUGCUGCAUAGAAGCAUGUCGAUAUGCCCUCAGAGAAAUUUAUCCCAGCAAUUUAAGUGACUGCAACUCAUAAACUUCUCUUAUAAAUUUUGUAUCAUUCUUUUCCUUUUUUCAACAUACAUUUCUGGCUUUAAAUUGAAUUAUUGAGUUCUCUCUCUCUGAUUAUAAGCACAAACUUCAUAUUAGAGAGGCAAAGUUGGAUGCAGCUGAUCCUUCUAAUAUAUGCUAGUUGUUGCUUGAUGACUAUGCCUCCCUGUGUUAUUUUCACUACUCAGACAAGAAUAUGGAGAAUUUAAACCCCAACUGUCCAAGACUAAUUUUCCAUCUUCAAAACUAACAUCCAAAUAUUUCUUUCAGGCAGGCAUGUACAUAUGGUGAAAAAUGGGUAGUAUAAAAAGGAUAACUGAGGGCGGAGGUCAUGAUCUUCAUACUUGCAGUUUCUUUCCUAGUGGGCUGAGGUGAAUAAAUCCAUUUUCAUGGGCACUUAAUGCCUAAUACGGCGAAAAGAGAAACUCGAAACUUCUGUCAUAUAAUAUAAUAAUAUAAUUCUGUUUUCUUGCCUAAUUAGCUAUUUGCGGUAAAAGGGCCAGAAAUUAUCCUAAUCUCUGUUUAGUCCUGUUUGAUUUAACAGUUGUAUAAAAUAUUAGUUGAUUGGCAAAUAAUAAUUAAUUUAUAUUAUUUAUU